CACGGGGGGAGCAAGCGUUGUUCGGAUUCAUUGGGCGUAAAGGGCUCGUAGGUGGCUUUGUAAGUCGGAGGUGAAAUCCCACGGCUCAACCGUGGACACGCCUUCGAAACUGUGAAGCUUGAGGCUGGGAGAGGAGAUCGGAAUUCCUGGUGUAGCGGUGAAAUGCGUAGAUAUCAGGAGGAACACCGGUGGCGAAGGCGGCUACCUGGCCCAACAUUGACGCUGAGACCCGAAAGCAUGGGGAUCAAACAGG
rnacentral:rRNA from 1 species